rnacentral:rRNA from 1 species
AAAUUGAAGAGUUUGAUCAUGGCUCAGAUUGAACGCUGGCGGCAGGCCUAACACAUGCAAGUCGAACGGUAACAGGAAACAGCUUGCUGUUUCGCUGACGAGUGGCGGACGGGUGAGUAAUGUCUGGGAAACUGCCUGAUGGAGGGGGAUAACUACUGGAAACGGUAGCUAAUACCGCAUAACGUCGCAAGACCAAAGAGGGGGACCCUCGGGCCUCUUGCCAUCGGAUGUGCCCAGAUGGGAUUAGCUUGUUGGUGGGGUAACGGCUCA